GCCCUGAAACCGGAGAGCAGGUGGGGGUCAGGGAGACAUCCCUUAUCCACAUGAGUCCCUCAUCGGGGCUCAGAUGGAUGAGGGGUGGGAGUCCCCUGGGCAGCAACUCCAGGCCUCUGGCCUCCAUUUCCUCCUCAGGAGGGAGCCAGAGCUGGGGGGCCCGGCGAAGCCACACAGAGCUUAGAGCUGGGCCUGCUUACAGGGCGGGUGCUGGGGCAGCUGCGAGCAAUUACCUGGUGAUGACUUCAGCCCCGGGUGCCUCACGUGCUCGUGCUGGGGCUGAAGGCGCAGGCGCUGAAGUGGACCUGGGGUUCAAGUCCCUCCCCUCCCAGGAGCUGCAGGCCAGUGGGGCCUGCCUAGCCUGCUGUUAGCUGUGGGGUCCCCAAGGUCCGAGUUUCUCCCACGGGAGCCAGGAAGGCAGAGGACUGUAGCCACAGAGCCCGGUGUCGCAGCCACAGCUCGGAACUCUGACCACGCACUGGAGCUCCUAGAAUCCCCUAAGUGUGGGCUCAAACACUUGCCCAGAUCCCUGGGGCCUUGCAAGGGUGCCCCUGGGGUCCAUACUCCCCUGGCCACAGAACUGGGGAUUCACAGCUCUGAUCUGAAGGACUCUGCGCUGCAGCCCACAGAACCCUCACCCCAGAGGACUCCAGUUGCAGCCCACAGCAGCUUAAGAGGCCACGCAGGUCCACAAAUGCGGGUGCACGGCCGGCCCUGACCACCAGGGGGCAGCCGCGACCGCCGCGCAGCGCCCAGCCGGGAGGAGGCGUCAAGGCCGCGCUCCAGGCCCGGGUCCGAGCUGGAAGCCCUAACCUGUGGUGCAGCCCUCCAGGGACAUCAGGGCUACAUCAAGGAGGGACUGCAAAGAUUUCACACAGGAGGCUCACCCCACUUGAGCAAACUGUCACCUGAAUCUAGGUUAACCAGGUGAGCCUCCUGAAAAUCCUCAGACGUCAGUGUCCGCUGUACCCACCUGAGAUAUGGGGCUAUGAUUUCAAAUUAGGACAGAACAAAUGACUUACACAAAACUGAGGAGAGGAGCAAGAGGAAAGGCAUCUUCCUGGCCCUGCCUGCUUCCAGGCACAACAGCUGACUCGGCCUGAGACCAGCCACCCACCCACCACCCCCGCCUGGCUGGGAGGCUGGCAGGGCCCCAGCCCCACCCAGCCCCGAGUAUGUUUCAUUUGGAUCUGACUCCAGUGGUGGUGCAUCGGGCUGGACUUGCAGCUAAAAAUACCCAGGAGCCAGGCCAGCUGCUCAGGGCUUCCUCAGAAGCAGCUGGGCCGGGCAGGCCAGAGGAGGAGCGCACGCCACGCGCCCGGGGAGUCUGCUCUUACCUGCCAGGCGUUCGGGACCCGCGUCAUUCUCCUUUGUGUAUCCAGGAAUUCCUGGAGAGAUUUGAGAGGACAAGAAAGAUUCUUUA